AUUGAACGCUGGCGGCAGGCCUAACACAUGCAAGUCGAGCGGAGCGGCGGACGGGUGAGUAAUGCCUAGGACUCUGCCUGGUAGUGGGGGAUAACGUCAGGAAACGGGCGCUAAUCCCGUAUACUAUAAGAUGAACCUAGGUCGGAUUAGCUAGUUGGUGGGGUAAAGGCUUACCACGGCGACGAUCCGUAACUGGUCUGAGAGGAGGAUCAUUCACACUGGAACUGAGACCCGGUCCAGACUCCUACGGGAGGCAGCAGUGGGGAAUAUUGGACAAUGGGCGAAAGCCUGAUCAAGCCAUGCCGCGUGUGUGAAGAAGGUCUUCGGAUUGUAAAGCACUUUAAGUUGGGAGGCGUUACCAACAGAAUAAGCACCGGCUAACUUCGUGCCAGCAGCCGCGGUAAUUC
rnacentral:rRNA from 1 species